rfam:Saccharothrix sp. NRRL B-16348 P442contig55.1, whole genome shotgun sequence.
CGCUUUCUUCGCGGCGGAGCUGGACCGCCCCUCCCGCUGAUCGUCGCCUACACCGACGCCCACAAACACGAGUUCGGAGUCGAGCCGAUCUGUGCCGUACUGACCGCGGCCAGCACCAAGAUCGCUCCG